AAAUCCCUGCAGCCCCACACACACAUUUACAGGCAGACAGUCACACACUCAGUUACAGACAGACAGUCACACACUCAGUUACAGGCAGACAGUCACACACAGUUACAGGCAGACAGUCACAUAUACAUUGACACACACACAUGACAGCAACAGACAGUCACACACAGUUACAGGCAACAUCAAACAGUCACAGGCAGACAGUCACACAU